GGGGCAUGGCUCAGUGCUAGAGCACUUGCCUACCAUGUGUGAGGCACUGGGUUCAAUUCUCAGCACCA
rnacentral:tRNA from 1 species